UGUGGCCUGGCCAAGUUGCAGCUGGCCCACUGCGUUCACCUUGGCAGCAGCCGGCCCGUCCAGCGAGGAGUUCGCCUGUCCUGCCCUCUGCGCCACAGGGCCGAGCACGGGGCUCGGCCCACCGGCGGCUGUACGGCGUCCCGGGGCUCGCUCGCUGAAGGCCCGCUGCCGAUUCCCCGAGGCCGGUGGGGGACCGCCCCCGUCUGCCCCUCUCGCCUCCGCUGGCGCCCACCGCCAGUGCCCAUGGCCGGGAGCCGGCCCCCCCCAUCGCCCGAUGGCAAUCCGCCGCCGCCGGGGCAGGGGAGGGUCCGGCCCGGGGGAGGGUCCGGCGGGUAGCGGGCAGCAGUGCGCAGGAGGGUCGGCGGGGCUUGCUCCCUCGGCGCCCGUGGGAGGAAGCGGCGGGCGGAGACGCGAGCGAGAUGGCACCCCAGGUUGGGACGGGUGCCACGGGUCGCCACCCCUAAGUGGUGGGGGGCUGACCCGCGGCAGGCUGCGGCGGAGCAGCCCGUCUUGCAGAGACGGCGAGGACAGGCGUUCCGGGAUGGCGCGCGGGGUGGGCGCCGGGCGGYGGCGGACCCCGAGCGGGGGCGUCGUGCCAGGCCACACGAGGCGACGGGUCGUGCCCGAGCGGGYGGCCCAAACCACGGCUCUCCUCCCGGGCGCAGCUGCUGCCCGGCGCCGGGUUACUGAGGGAAACCCUGGGCCCCGGGAGGAGACGAGGUCGCGGCGGCGGGUGUUGGGCGCACCCCGCGGGCGGACGCUCCGCCGAGGGGCACCGGAGCCRGCUGGCGGGUGCCGGAGUUCCCCUCCGCGUUCUGCCUCACUGCCACCGCCGAGGCUGCCGCCGUCGCCGCGAGGCGGCGGCGGCCCGGCGGCGGGCGGCGGCGGGGGAGGCACCCCCGCGGGGAUUUCAGGUCGUUUCCCUCACCCCAGGGCCAGGUACCUAGCGUCUGCGCUCCUCCUGCCCCCCCUCGGUGACCCACCCGUGUGGUCCCGUGUGCCAGCUCGCUCCUCCCAGGUGCCGCGCCGUAAGUACCGCACCGGCCGUGCCCUCCCGCCCUUUCCGCUUUCCCUUUCCCCACCCCCCACUGCUCCAGCCGCCCCGCGCCGUGCCGCGGGGACCAUGCUGCGAGUGGGCCGGGUGGGGGUUGCGGGAGGAGCGGAGGGCCUCCGGCCACCGCGGCCGCCAGUAGCUGCCCUGGGUAGGGAUGGCCAUGGGCCCCGGGCUCCGGGCCCGAGGGUUCUCGGCGGGAGAGCCGGGCGGGGGUUUAAAGACUCGGGUGGCCCAAUGCGACCCGGGGGGCAGCCGGGUGUGCUGCCGGAGGGCCGGGGGGCCGGCGCGCGCGGGCGCCGUGCCCCCCCAUGCCAG
rnacentral:lncRNA from 1 species